GAGCGGCGAGGCCCUCGGGCUGGCGCCUGCUGUCCGAGCGCUCGCCUCUCCCUCGCGGCAGGUGGCAGCUCGAGCCCGCAGUGCGCUGGCAACUCACGCGCCCUCCCGGCGUGUCGCGCCGGCGAUGCCACCGCCUCGGGGCGGGUGGGAGGAGCUGCGCUGGCCGCCGCGCUCGCUGACUGGCUGCACUUCGGCCACAGAGUAGGACUUCUGUGGCAUUUCAUGGGUCCCUGAGAAGGUGAAGUCUUCCCAGCUUGUGAUUGAGAAUAAUAGAGAGAGAAAGAGAGAGACCAUGCCAUAACUGAUGAUACAAUCCUCUAACAUUGAACUGGAAGAAGUUAAAUUGUAGACUUGGGGAGAAUGUGAUGCAUUAUUCGGAUAAUACUUCACAUCCCAGAGUUCAUUUAACAGCACUGGCCUGCAUCCUUGGGAUAUAUCAGCUCUGGGAGAUGUCAGCUUUUCACCACCAGUGGCUGUUCAGGAAGUCUAUAGCAGCUUGUCUUACAGGCAUGUAAAGAUGCAUGUAUGGAGACACUGUCCCUUUUCUGCUCCCUUGUGCCCUGUGGAACCAUGUGACUUGCUCAUGAAAACAGAAAAGAGACAUGAGGAGCAGGCGUUUGGAUGCUACAGUGAAGAAGAUGAGGGCUCCUAGGUAUUUGGACACCAAGACCUGCCCAACAAGGAUUCACACCAUCACACAGCCAACCAGUUUUGAAAGCUCAUUUAUGAAUACGUUGAACAGUACCGGUCCCAGUACAGACCCCUGGGGGACACCAGCAUUUACCUCUCUCCAUUCUGAAAAAUGACCAUUGGAAGACAUACUGAUGAAAUGGCACUAUGAAUAAAAUGACUCCUUUGUGGAAGCCCUUUUCUUGGCACUGAAUAAUUUUGGAACCUAUGGGUGGAGACCUAGAUGCUUCAGAUGCAGAUGUGUUUAACCCUUCUAUCUUGUGAUUAUUGGCAGCAAAAAGGGUCAGAUUCAAUAUAUUUUGGCUCCCUCUUGACAAAACUAAACUGCCUUAAGCCCUCACCCAGAAACCUGCAAAAACUAAACAGAUGCCCUUAUCAGACAGAACUUCCCCACUCCAAGACUGUUUACACUCAAAUAAAUCUUUACUGGGGAGAAGAAAACAGACAAACUUGGGGAAACACAGCAAGUGAGAGAGUGAGUGUGUGGCCCAUGCCUGCUUGGUGUGGCACUCUAUCGCCCUCUAGUGGUAGUUAGAACAGCUAGAGUUGAUGAGUCUGCUAAAGCUUUGGCUAUAAGAGAGAUGUGUCUUUUAGCUCAUACAAUAGAAGCUCAUGCAUUAAGCUCCAGUGAUCACAAGUUUGAUCCUGGUUAACAAUGACAGGGGCUGUCAGCAUUACAUAUGUAAAUUAAGCAUAAAAUACACCCUCCCCCAAGCAAUUUUGGCAGCAGUCCAUCUAACUCCCUUCCCCUGCUGGUGAGAUUGUCCCACAGGUAAUAGUCCCUUGGCCACACCACAUUUACUCCUGGGGGACUUCUGUGCCAAAAAAUUAAAAAUUCGGCACACAAUAUUUUAAAAUGCCGCAUAUUUCAUUUGUCAAAACACCACAAUAUACCAUAAUCUCUUCAGUUUCAAUUAUUUUGGUAAUUUAUUUCAAAAUACCUGUCAACAAGUAUGUCAACAUUACAGUCAACAACAACAACAAAAGAUUCCCCCAGGAGUAGAGAGUUCAAGAAACUGCUAUGACAACUCAGUUCCAGUUGGGGAGUGCUGGAGGGUGCUGUGUGGUGCCCCCCAGAGCCCAGACACCCACACCCCCCUCAGCCCAGCUGUGGGGCAUUCCCAGAGCCCAGACACCCGGGACCCCUUCCUCCAGAGCCCAGCUGCAGGCCACCACCCCCAGUGCACACACUAGCACUGCCCUAGCCCAAAGCCUUUACUCCCCCCAGCUUAUUUACUAUCCCACUGGGGGACACUGUGUGGCCCUACCCUCCCUCACCCUUUGCCAGAGAUGGGUCUCCUGGGCCCUCUCCUGUCCCCGAGUGGAAGAUGAUCAAAGCUGGGCAGCCACAGUGUUCAGAGCCUCCAUCCACACCAGGCUGGGUGCUCCACUCACUGUGAGCUGGGCUCUGCAGAGUCCAUCAGCCCCUAAUGGCCACCAGCAGCACUGCAGCCCCAAUUCGGGAGGGGGGGGGGGGAGGACACGACACACAUGAAAUUCUGUACAUAACAUUAAUUGUGCACAAAUUCUACAUUGCAUAGUGGCACAGAAUUCCUCCAGUAGUACACAUUACCCAUCCACCAAACCACACUCACAGCAGCAGUCCAAGUAUCUCUGUGUGGAGCUGUCAAAUUGUAGUGUUAAAUCUUAAAAGCACGCCCUCACAAAUAACUUUUUCUGUGCUGUCCUGUAUCAGCCAAAGAUUAAGGAUUCAAAUUUUCUAAAACUUCUUUAAAAAUCACAGGCUAUUCAUCUUCAAAGAUGAUGUGCACUGACAGCUUCAGAAGAGUUAAUGACUGCUUAGCUUUUUUGGGUCUGCAUGGGGGAAGCUUCC